rnacentral:rRNA from 1 species
UACAGAGGUCUCAAGCGUUGUUCGGAUUCAUUGGGCGUAAAGGGCGCGCAGGCGGUACGGCACGUCCGUUGUGAAAUCGCUCGGCUCAACUGGGCGGGGUCAGCGGAUACGGCCGCACUCGAGCAAGCUAGGGGGCAAUGGAAUUCCCGGUGUAGUGGUGGAAUGCGUAGAUAUCGGGAGGAACACCAGUGGCGAAGGCGGUUGCCUGGAGCUUUGCUGACGCUGAGGCGCGAAAGCGUGGGGAGCGAUCCGG